UAAACGGAUUUUUUUUAUCAACAAAGAAUAAAUAAUAUUAAAGUAGAACAUUUAAGAGAAGUUCUGACCCGUAUAUAAAAACUGAACUGAUUAUCUCUUAAUUCCUUACAUAUUCUAACCAGCUCCCAACCUUAAUACACCCUAACAAAAUUUAUAACGAUAAACUAACCCAUUAAGUCUCAAAAAUUUACCUAAGUAUAGUGUCCUUCCUUACAAUUGUCUGAAAUAGCAAUAACAAUCACUACAAGAAAAUCAUGAAAUAGAAACCAAUUUUAGAAAUAAAAAAUAAUUAGUUGCUAUAGUGACUAAAUUAGAG
rnacentral:lncRNA from 1 species